rnacentral:misc_RNA from 1 species
AACGCACCUUGCGCUCCUUGGUAUUCUGAGGAGCAUGCCUGUUUGAGUGUCAUUAAAUUCUCAACCUCACCCGUUUUCUGAACGGUACCCGAGGCUUGGAUGUGGGGGUUUGUGCAGGCUGCCUCAGCGCUGGUCUGCUCCCCUGAAAUGCAUUAGCGAGUUCAUACUGAACCUCCGUCUAUUGGUGUGAUAAUUAUCUACGCCGUGGACUGGGUUUAGACUCGCUUCUAACCGUCCGCAAGGACAAUACCUUUGACAAUUUGACCUCAAAUCAGGUAGGACUACCCGCUGAACUUAA